AUCAUGGGACUAGAUCCCUGAUAGAACUGGUUUCAGAGGAGAACAAAAUCCCUCCCUUAGAAUGAAGGAAAAAGUGGGAAAAAACCUCUUGGACUGGUGAUUGUGAGCGAGGAAUGGCUGCUACAAAAGUGUUUUCUAAGAAUCAUCGUGCAAACCACUAACAGGAGAAUUCAAGUCAAAACUUGACUGUCGCUUCUUGCAGAGCCCUUCAUACUGGGAAAUGAAUCCAAAUCAUUUAUAUUCUUCCUAAAACAGAAUCACAUUACUACACGGAGCAGGUGGAUUUUUACAUCUGAUCUGUGCCUGUUUUAUCUAUACACAUAUUUUUCUCUCAAACUUUGACCUGCAAGAAAACAAGAAGGAGGAAUGAAUUUUGAUACCUGCAUCCUGGCACUGACAUAAUAAUCUUCCAAUACGUUUGUAUUUGAGAAUAAAGCAAAAUGAUUU
ensembl:lncRNA